UACGUAGGGUGCAAGCGUUGUCCGGAAUUAUUGGGCGUAAAGAGCUCGUAGGCGGUCUGUCGCGUCUGCUGUGAAAACUCGGGGCUUAACCCCGGGCCUGCAGUGGGUACGGGCAGACUAGAGUGCGGUAGGGGAGACUGGAAUUCCUGGUGUAGCGGUGAAAUGCGCAGAUAUCAGGAGGAACACCGGUGGCGAAGGCGGGUCUCUGGGCCGUAACUGACGCUGAGGGGCGAAAGCAUGGGGAGCGAACAGG
rnacentral:rRNA from 1 species